CACCUGUUGGUGCACUUGGAAGCACACCCACUCGUCCGCUAAUUGAGCUCUAUGGAAUCUGUGGGAGGCCCUAGUUCGAUUCUAGGAGGGGUCA